ensembl:lncRNA
AAGAAAGAGAGAUUUGGUCAAAGACAGUACACUAUGAAGAUGAGCUAAAAAUGAUUCUCCAAUUCAAAUCCCCGAUUACACUUGUUGACGAUGUCAUGGCGACGUUGGCAAGCAAAACUCAUGCGUAGAAGCAAGUCAUCGGGUCUAAUGGUCAUCUUGCGCCGAACUGCGCAUGUGCUGGCAGUGUUCUGUUUAGUCUAUUUCACAACCGUUCCUGGAAAUCUUGCGAUGCUGCGCCUCUGGGUUUAGAAACUCUGUGAUUUAGUCUAUAAAACAGGUUGUCAGACACCAGUCUACAUCUGGGUAGAGAAACAUCCCAUACAUUCUGAAAUAUGUGCUGUACUUGGCGUCUACUCUGAACAUCUACUUGUGAUUUCUGUCUGGUUGACAGCCAUCGGCAAACUUCGAUGACUUAAGUUUUUCUCCACAGAACAAAGGAACAGAAUGCCAUUCAUAACCCCCCCACCCUAGCCUGGAGUUGACCAAUCAGAAGUCCUUGCAGUACAACUGGGCCAAUGGCCAAAUAACAAGUAGACCAGAAAAGCCACAUCCCGAAUUGGCAGAUGAGCAGCAACCCUGAUUAGAAGCACCUGCUGCUCAAUGCUGUUUUGAAUUCAAAUAAAAUUGUACCUAAACACUGAAGGCUGUAAAGAAACACAGAGGAUGGUGGCAGUUAUAUUGUCUUAAGAAAGUCGGAGACCUACAAGAUCAACAAGAGAAUGGGUGGAGAUUGGUCAAAAGAUCGAGCGGAUCAGGCAGAGAGAGACCGCGAUCAAGCCAAAACUGAUAAACAGAAAGCGGAGGAGGACAAACAGAACAUGGAGAAGGAAAAGAAAAAGACAGAAGAGGAUUACAGGCAGCUCUUUGCUGAGAAAGUGAGAAUGGAAACAGAACAAAAGAUGGAAGAAAAACAAAGACAGGAGCUUGAGAAGGAAACUCUAAAAGUAAUAGAACACAAUAGACAGCGAGAGAAAAAUGAAAAGACAAGAAUUCAGCUGGAAAAUGCAAAAGGAGAUCAAAAAACUGUAUGAAAUGUAUCCACAUAUUAAGAGACAAAUGCAUAAACGGUUAAAUGAUCCA